CUAUCUGCAGUCGAGCGACUGAUUAGAAGCUUGCUUCUAUGACGUUAGCGGCGGACGGGUGAGUAACACGUGGGCAACCUGCCUGUAAGACUGGGAUAACUUCGGGAAACCGAAGCUAAUACCGGAUAGGAUCUUCUCCUUCAUGGGAGGUGAUUGAAAGAUGGUUUCGGCUAUCACUUACAGAUGGGCCCGCGGUGCAUUAGCUAGUUGGUGAGGUAACGGCUCACCAAGGCGACGAUGCAUAGCCGACCUGAGAGGGUGAUCGGCCACACUGGGACUGAGACACGGCCCAGACUCCUACGGGAGGCAGCAAUAGGGAAUCUUCCGCAAUGGACGAAAGUCUGACGGAGCAACGCCGCGUGAGUGAUGAAGGCUUUCGGGUCGUAAAACUCUGUUGUUAGGGAAGAACGAGUACAAGAGUAACUGCUUGUACCUUGACGGUACCUAACCAGAAAGCCACGGCUAACUACGUGCCAGCAGCCGCGGUAAUACGUAGGUGGCAAGCGUUAUCCGGAAUUAUUGGGCGUAAAGCGCGCGCAGGCGGUUUCUUAAGUCUGAUGUGAAAGCCCACGGCUCAACCGUGGAGGGUCAUUGGAAACUGGGGAACUUGAGUGCAGAAGAGAAAAGCGGAAUUCCACGUGUAGCGGUGAAAUGCGUAGAGAUGUGGAGGAACACCAGUGGCGAAGGCGGCUUUUUGGUCUGUAACUGACGCUGAGGCGCGAAAGCGUGGGGAGCAAACAGGAUUAGAUACCCUGGUAGUCCACGCCGUAAACGAUGAGUGCUAAGUGUUAGAGGGUUUCCGCCCUUUAGUGCUGCAGCUAACGCAUUAAGCACUCCGCCUGGGGAGUACG
rnacentral:rRNA from 1 species